rnacentral:lncRNA from 1 species
UCGGAUUGGGAAGAACAGUGGUAAUGGGGGUUAUGCGAGAAGUGGGGAACUUUGAUUAGUAUUCUGAAAAGCCAUUGUUAAUUAGUUGCAGAGAGAAAUUUGGAGAAGAAGAGGAGCUAGGAAUAUCCGAAUUUCAAAUUAAGUUGGUAAAACUGUCAGAUUUGGGAGAAAGCAGCUUUUAUACUAGAGUUCUCUUCAACUUUUCAC